AGAAUCUUUAUUAAGUGAAAGUUUAAUUCCACUGAGCUAAAUUGAAAUUACAUGAAUGAGCAGGGUAGGGAGAACUCUAGCUCAGUCCAAUGCCACAGAAACUCCCCACAUCAAAGCAGGCUGUCCAAUCAUAAGCAUUACAUCACCACAAUUUACUCUGAUUGGCUGAUCAGACCUCAAGAGUGGAAACUGUUACUAGCCCCUUGUAAAUAAAGGCGCAUUUAUGGCUGUCAAAAGUAGUUUCCAUUGUUGUCAACUGCACCACAAAUGAACUGAAAACAUACCCAGCUUAUGUCAGGAACAGAUUCACACCUGAGACAGUC